CUCAUUUUUCCCGGGCUUUCGGUCGGCGUUUUCCUUUUUUCGCGGGUUUGGGCGCGCAUCGAACUCUGAAGGGUCGGGAAGGCCUGUCGUUGGAAUGUGGUUGAGUUCCAGGGAGUGUACAGGCUGGAGGAUGGGACAAGACCUAUCUCUGUAUCGAUCAAGCACGGCGUUGGUGUUCCAGCUCAUCACCAAUCCUAAGGAAUUCAAGUGCCUCCCAGGAUGAAUACAGGUUGUCUUGAUGGUGAUACAUUCAUCUGUCUUAAGAUCCCUGCUGAUCUGCUCAUGGUCAAACUCAUGGAAAGAGUUGAGAGUGGGGCACCUUGUUCCUGCAUCCUCAAAGGAGCAUCUUGUUCCAGAGUUAAAAGGUUCCAGAGUUAAAAGGUACCUGUACCAUUUAGCGGCUUGUUCACUCAAAGAUCCAUCUUUUCUGGAGCCUGAGGAUGAUUGGAGGUAAAUCUGUUUAUCUAUGGCUGCUAUGUAAAGUUUGCCAGUUUUUGUGUGACACUUUGGAUAGUUGUGCAGGUAUUACUUAAUCCAAAGUCUGCCUUUGGCCAUUUGUGAACCACCUGAAACAGAUUUCUGCUCACAUGAUGAGUUUGAUACCGCCCCAGUCUGAUCACUAUGACUGAAAGGUAUUUUCUGAGCUGUGAGUUUGCCUUAGAGUGGGAAGUUAGUCUUUUUAUAAAAUGUCUGUUGAGACCUACACAGCCUAUUAGGGUGUCCCAUUCCUCUGGGAAUGGUUGACUUAGUUCCCAAUCUCUGUUUUGCAGGUGAAAGGUGUAAGCCAUACUCUGCUCAACUCCAGUCUGAAACUAAGGUUAAAAGAACACGUACUUAACACACGGGUAAGAAUCCAACUCUUGGAGGACAUCAGAAGUGGAAUUUUCUUAUACAACCUACCUAUUCAAAUUAGCAUAUAAUCUUUCUAGCCUUUCUAAAUAAAUAAAGGGAUUUUUUUG
rnacentral:lncRNA from 1 species